rnacentral:rRNA from 1 species
GGCCUAACACAUGCAAGUCGGACGGUAACAGGAGAGAAGCUUGCUUUUCUUGCUGACGAGUGGCGGACGGGUGAGUAACGCGUGGGAAUCUACCCUUUAGUUGGGGACAACAUAUGGAAACGUAUGCUAAUACCGAAUGUGCUCUACGGAGUAAAGGUGCCCUCUCCUUGGAAGGUAUCGCUAAAGGAUGAGCCCGCGUUAGAUUAGCUAGUUGGUAGGGUAAAGGCCUACCAAGGCGACGAUCUAUAGCUGGUUUGAGAGGAUGAUCAGCCACACUGGGACUGAGACACGGCCCAGACUCCUACGGGAGGCAGCAGUGGGGAAUAUUGCACAAUGAGGGAAACCUUGAUGCAGCCAUGCCGCGUGUGUGAAGAAGGCCCGAGGGUUGUAAAGCACUUUCAAUUGUGAGGAAGAUUAAGUAGCUAAUACCUGCUUAGUUUGACGUUAACUUUAGAAGAAGCACCGGCUAACUCUGUGCCAGCAGCCGCGGUAAUACAGAGGGUGCAAGCGUUAUUCGGAAUUACUGGGCGUAAAGCGCGCGUAGGCGGACUGUUAAGUCGGUUGUGAAAGCCCUGGGCUCAACCUAGGAACUGCAUCCGAUACUGGCAAUCUAGAGUUUAAGAGAGGGAAGUGGAAUUCCAGGUGUAGCAGUGAAAUGCGUAGAUAUCUGGAGGAACAUCAGUGGCGAAGGCGACUUCCUGGCUUAAAACUGACGCUGAGGUGCGAAAGCUUGGGUAGCGAACGGGAUUAGAUACCCCGGUAGUCCAAGCCGUAAACGAUGUCAACUAGCUGUUGGUCUUAUUAAAAAGAUUAGUAGCGAAGCUAACGCGAUAAGUUGACCGCCUGGGGAGUACGGUCGC